ACUGACUCAUUGUUCACUCAUUUAUCUCCCCUUUCCCUGUCUCUCUGAUUACCGCUCUGCAAAUCAGGUUUCUCCAUCCCUUCGUGUCAUACCUGCAGCCUCCUGCACCUUCUCUAUUCUGUUGUUGUGUGGCUUCUGGACUUUGCAGUUCCAGGUGAAUGCCAGACAGCAAUACCAGCUGUGGUGCUAAUGAAGAUCUCUUACCAUGGAUACCAUGAGUGCUGCUCACAUCACACACUCUCAGCCUUUUUAUGUGAAAGACUCUGAAAAACACCUUCACUUCAGACAAGUGACCCUGACUUCAAAAUACUGGAACUCCAUAUGAAGAUAGAGAGAACCAUCUGAUAAAAAUCAGGUCAGCGGCAUGAAGAAGGACACUGAGGAUCAAAACAUGGAGACUGACAAGAUGAAGCUGAGCAGCAAAAUAUCAGACAGUCUCUGGAGAGGAGCACCAGACUCAGCAAAAAAAGAUUUACUGAGACAGAUGAGACCUUUUAUGUGACAUAAAGUUUCCGAACUCUUUAGAAUUUCUUGGACGCCUGCAUGGUCUAUGAUGCCUCUAAAGUGCUGUAACUCUGUAAUAUGUGUUAGUGUACUGCAAUAUGUGUCCAAUGAGGUUGAGAAGUGCUUUAUUUCCCUUUUUUCAUGAGAAAGAAUAGUAAUCAAAGGUAUGGUAAUCCUGGUUUCAUUUUCUAACUCUUUUCUAUCUGUUAGAUGAAGUUGCCUGGGAUGCAAGCCAUCGUUUCUUGAAUAGAUAUGACUGGAAAGAAGUAUCUCAUCUCAUCUCUUUGGAUCAUCUCAUCAUAAAUCACAUUUGCACAAGCCUUCCUAAAUUCUCCAUAAAGUUUUCUCCUUGUUUGUGCUCAAUGAGCCACAGUCACAUACAUCACAGUGGGCAAGGUGACUGAGCUACAGUCUGGGUCAUGAAUGAUCACACUGAAUCAUCUCACAAACAUAAAGACAUGCACACAAAGGUGGGGAAAAAUGCCCUUUUUGGGGGGUGCACCUUCUCUGUCAUGGAUUUAUUGUAAACUAAUUUGUAUUCCUAACUUCCUCUUUAUUUGUUCAGCUUUGCACGCCAAAACUUGCCUAAAGGUAAGGGGCCAAAUACUAUAUGUUCCAAAACGGUAUAUGUGGUGUGCAUAGUGAAAGGAUAUCUGACUUGACAGGAAAAAAAUGAGAAAAAAGAGAGAAAGACAAAAAAAACAACAACAAAAAAACACUGAAAAGGUUAAAAUUGAUUCUGGCAUCAAGAAGUCCAUUUAAUCAAGCUCUUUAAGCAAUGCAAUGGUGUUGUGCAGACUCCUUGCUCGAUACAGCUCAUUAAUAUUGUCCCAAAACUUUACCCAUUCAUCACAGGCUUUGUAGAAGUCAGAUCCCUUGUAACAAAGCUCUCUACUGUCUGUUUCAGCAGUGUGUGUGACAGUCUGGCAUUUGCCCUCCCAGGAAAGAGCACGUCCAUGUUUCAUCACCACCAUGCUACAGUCCAGCAGACGGACAGAAAUUUACAUCACGUCCCGCAGUCCAUGUGUGUCUGUGGUU